rnacentral:lncRNA from 1 species
GUUCAGAAAAUCCCUCUGUAAUAUUUUCUACAGAUGCAGAUGCAACCUUCCAUGCAAGCGUUAAUUAUCCCAUUAGGAUCUUGUGUACUGUUAUAGCGAAGACAGUAAUCUUUACGUCACCUGCAAUGAUUCCAUCCGGAGCACCUUUGUAAUGAAAGUAGUAACUGGUUUCAGCGGUGGAGAGGAAGCCGCAGCCCCAC